UCAGACGAUGCGUCAUGCAUAUCAAUAAGCGGAGGAAAAGAAACUAACAAGGAUUCCCCUAGUAACGGCGAGUGAAGCGGGAAGAGCUCAAAUUUGAAAUCUUAAAGGGUUUCCCUUUACGAAUUGUAGUUUAAAGAAGUGUUUUCUGUUGAGGUUUUGGUAAAAGUUCUUUGGAAUAGGACAUCAUAGAGGGUGAGAAUCCCGUAUUUGACCUUUACUUUCAACUUUGUGAUACACUUUCAAAGAGUCGGAUUGUUUGGGAAUGCAGUCCAAAAUGGGUGGUAAAUUUCAUCUAAAGCUAAAUAUUGGCGAGAGACUGAUAGCGAACAAGUACCGUGAGGGAAAGAUGAAAAGAACUUUGAAAAGAGAGUUAAACAGUACGUGAAAUUGUCAAAAGGGAAGCGUUUGACACCAGUGUUGUUUUUCUGAAAAUCAAUUAAAGAACUGUUUAUGCUAAGCUGUUUAGACUUUAUCAGCUCAUCUGUUUAGUUUUGAGCUUUUCUUUAAUGCACUUUUCAGUUAACAAGUCAACAUCAAUUUCUUUUGCUGUAAAAAAGCUUGAGGAAGGUGGCUUGAGAUUCGUCUUAAGUGUUUAUAGCCUCUUGCCUAUGCAGUCGGAGAGAUUGAGGUCUGCAGCGUAGAUCCUUCGGGGCUAAAUGCAUUUGUGCUAAGUUAUAGCAUUUUAUAGACAACUUGUUGACUAUGAUUUGUCUUGUAGCUUACUCGCUUAUGUUAUUUUACCUACGCUUAGGAUGUUGAGCGCAUGUCUCUCUCU
rnacentral:rRNA from 1 species